rnacentral:rRNA from 1 species
GCUCAAAGUUGGAACCUGGCUGUCYUAGAUAGUCCGGAUUGUAAACUAAAGAGCGUGAAUCCAGGCAAGCCGGUUGAUCAAGUCCUUUGGAAUGAGGCGCCACUGAGGGUGAGAGCCCCGUAAAUCGACUGAGCAUUUGUCUUUUGUGUUUCGCGUUCAAAGAGUCAGGUUGUUUGGGAAUGCAGCCUAAAGCUGGUGGUAAAUCCCACCUAAAGCUAAAUACAGGCGAGAGACCGAUAGCGAACAAGUACCGUGAGGGAAAGAUGAAAAGUACUUUGAAAAGAGAGUUAAACAGUAUGUGAAAUUGCCAAGAGGGAAGCAUUUGGAGUUAGACUGACUUGAAGUUAAUCAGCUUGGUCUUUGGACUGGGUGUACUUGACUUCUAUGUCUGCCAAUAGCAGUUAGUCCUGGUGGAAAAAACUGAAGGGAAGGUAGUCCUUCGGGAUGUUUAUAGACCUUUGGAAAAUACACUGGGAUUGACUGAGGAAUGCAGUAGAUGCUAUUAAGGCUUCGUCUAGUAGGUGUUAGGUGAAGGUACUUGGUAUUUUCAGCUUGCUGAUGUGCUAGGUUACUUGAGCUUAAUUGCUUGCUAGAACUGUAA